rnacentral:rRNA from 1 species
AGGAUAAACGCUGGCGGCGUGCCUAACACAUGCAAGUCGAACGAGAAAGUGGAGCAAUCCAUGAGUAAAGUGGCGCACGGGUGAGUAACACGUGACUAACCUACCCUUGAGUGGGGGAUAACCUAGGGAAACCUGGGCUAAUACCGCAUAAUACCUUCGGGUCAAAGGAGCAAUUCGCUUAAGGAGGGGGUCGCGGCAGAUUAGCUAGUUGGCGGGGUAAUGGCCCACCAAGGCAGUGAUCUGUA